rnacentral:rRNA from 1 species
GUCGAGCGGGGUUGUCGGAGUGGAGUCCUUCGGGAUGAAGCACUGCCAACCUAGCGGCGGACGGGUGAGUAACGCGUGGGUAACCUGCCCUAAAGCCCGGGAUAACACCGGGAAACUGGUGCUAAUACCGGAUACCUUCCAGAGGGGGCAUCCUUUUUGGAAGAAAGGUGAACGCUUUAGGAUGGGCCCGCGUCCCAUUAGCUAGUUGGUGAGGUAACGGCUCACCAAGGCAGUGAUGGGUAGCCGGCCUGAGAGGGUGACCGGCCCCACUGGGACUGAGACACGGCCCAGACUCCUACGGGAGGCAGCAGUAGGGAAUAUUGCGCAAUGGGCGAAAGCCUGACGCAGCGACGCCGCGUGAGUGAUGAAGGCCUUCGGGUUGUAAAACUCUGUCCUUGGGGACGAAGGAAGUGACGGUACCCAAGGAGGAAGCCCCGGCUAACUACGUGCCAGCAGCCGCGGUAACACGUAGGGGGCGAGCGUUGUCCGGAAUUACUGGGCGUAAAGGGUGCGUAGGCGGCCUUUUAAGUCAGAUGUGAAAGACCACGGCUUAACCGUGGGGUUGCAUUUGAAACUGGGAGGCUUGAGUGUCGGAGAGGGCAGUGGAAUUCCCGGUGUAGCGGUGAAAUGCGUA